UUUAAAUUAUCCAAAUUGUUUUAAAACCCAAUUCACCCCCCCCCUCUUGGGUUGUCUAUCUGGGCAACACUCAUCAAAAUCAAAUAGGGUUUUAAUCAAUCACUCCACAAUCUCCCCCUUUUUGAUGAUGACAAAACAUUGAGUAUAUGUAAAGUGAAUUGCUCAAUAAACAAGGAAAUGAAAUCUAUAAAUGAAUUCAAGUGUCUGGUUUUUUAAUUUAUCCAAACUUGAAAGGUGUGAAACAUUAAAUUUUGGAGUUAAAGCUCUUCCUUUCAUUUGGAAUUAUAUAAGCCUUCAUGUCAUGCACUCAAUUAUUUGGCUUAUAUAUAUUUAAUGAUUUGACUUUCUUAAAAAUUCAGAUUCUCCCCCUCAA
rnacentral:lncRNA from 1 species